rnacentral:rRNA from 1 species
GACGAACGCUGGCGGCGUGCCUAAUACAUGCAAGUAGAACGCUGAAGGAGGAGCUUGCUCUUCUGGAUGAGUUGCGAACGGGUGAGUAACGCGUAGGUAACCUGCCUGGUAGCGGGGGAUAACUAUUGGAAACGAUAGCUAAUACCGCAUAACAGUAGAUGUUGCAUGACAUUUGCUUAAAAGGUGCAAUUGCACCACUACCAGAUGGACCUGCGUUGUAUUAGCUAGUUGGUGGGGUAACGGCUCACCAAGGCGACGAUACAUAGCCGACCUGAGAGGGUGAUCGGCCACACUGGGACUGAGACACGGCCCAGACUCCUACGGGAGGCAGCAGUAGGGAAUCUUCGGCAAUGGACGGAAGUCUGACCGAGCAACGCCGCGUGAGUGAAGAAGGGUUUCGGAUCGUAAAGCUCGGUUGUAAGAGAAGAACGAGUGUGAGAGUGGAAAGUUCACACUGUGACGGUAGCUUAACAGAAAGGGACGGCUAACUACGUG